UACGGGGGGGGGCAAGCGUUGUUCGGAAUUACUGGGCGUAAAGGGCUCGUAGGUGGCCAACUAAGUCAGACGUGAAAUCCCUCAGCUUAACUGGGGAACUGCGUCUGAUACUGGAUGGCUUGAGUUUGGGAGAGGGAUGCGGAAUUCCAGGUGUAGCGGUGAAAUGCGUAGAUAUCUGAAGGAACACCAGCGGCGAAAGCGGCUUCCUGGUCCAGUACCGACGUUCAGGCACGAAAGCGUGGGGAGCAAACAGG
rnacentral:rRNA from 1 species